UUGUUAUUUCUAUCCAAAACCCUACUAAAGGUUAUGUCGGCUGCUUCAUAGAAGAGAAGUUCAGUUUCUCAGAAGAGAAUCGUGGUUCAGAAGGAACUCAAGAUUUUAUAGCUGCUUAAGAUUUUUAGGGUGUCUCGGAUUUGUCGAUAACAACAUUACAACUGUGGAGAAAUCAAUGUUAGGUUUCCUGUGGCUGCAAUUAGGAAUUUGUUUAGAGGUGUAGCUGACAGACCCAAAAUCAUGGCUUUUACUGUUAACUCUUCUGAUCGGAAUGAAAGAACAAGCAAAGAAGCUCCUCAGCUAUGUGCAUUGUUGAAAGAAACGAAAGAAGGAUUGGAUUCAAUGAGGAGCAAGGUACGAGAGUAGAGAACCUAUUCAGUAUAGGAUAAAGAUGAUGAUACGUGCAAGACGAGAAGGGGGGAUUUUCACUCGUGCAUCGCUUACGGAGGUGGAGAAAAAGCAAGGAAAGCUUAUGAAGAAGUCGAGAAACAGAUUGGUUGGUUUGUCGGAAGAUUUCUACAAUGAUGUUAGAAGAUAUGGUAGAAGUUUACCUUUGAAUUAGGAUGGGGAUGAAGGUCCAUCAAGCUUCAGUAAUUCGAAUAGGGGAGGGAAAAAACAGUUUAAGCGAAAGAAAAUAAUCAUAUGAGUCUCUCCCUCUCCCUCUGGAGUUAUAGAUGUAAGAUCAACUGAAGCAAGGGUACCUUUACCAGUGAGAGAACAACAACGCCUCACUUUUGGCUUCUAAUAUUUUCAUGCUUAGGCGGCUUUGUUUCUAAGACGUAGUUUUAUUAACUCUGGCUAUUAACUCUUCUCCAAGAACAUGAUAACCACCCGCCCUUCUAGUCCUUAAUGGCACAGUGAAGCAACAUAAAUGAAACCCUGUCAACUAACUCUGAUCUCACUGGAAUAUAUUGGAUUAAACUGCACCCUGGAUACUGACUAUUAUGUCCUGCCUAAUGCAAUUGAUGCAAGCAAGUAUUACUGAGGAA